rnacentral:rRNA from 1 species
UACAGAGGUCCCAAGCGUUGUUCGGAUUCACUGGGCGUAAAGGGUGCGUAGGCGGUUUUCUAAGUUUGGUGUGAAAUCUCCCGGCUUAACUGGGAGGGUGCGCCGAAAACUGGAAGGCUUGAGUAUGGGAGAGGUAAGCGGAAUUCCUGGUGUAGCGGUGAAAUGCGUAGAUAUCAGGAGGAACACCGAUGGCGAAGGCAGGUCUCUGGGCUGACACUGACGCUCAUGCACGAAAGCGUGGGGAGCAAACAGG